UCAAGUGAUGAGGAUGAGUCUGUUGAGUCGACCACUGAGGCAACAGGUGAAGACGGCCAGGAGAAUACACCUUUACUUCCGACCACUGCUUCCAGUUCCACUCCUCCCAGUGCUCUUCUCAAUCAAGACAAAAGAGGUAACUCCAAACGGAAGUGGGAAGACAGCGAGGUGCGUGCAGUUGAAAGACACAUGAUGCGCUUCAUCCACACAUGCAAGGUACCUCAAAAGAUUGACUGCAUUCGGUGUAUCAACGCAGAACCUGAUGCGCUCAAAGACCGAAUCUGGACUGGAGUGAAAAAUGAUGUCAGAAAUCGGAUCACUGCCUUAAAGAGAAAGGCUUGUUCUCAGGACUCAUGAUAGAUAUUUGUUGAAGUAUACCUGUUUGAAGUAUAUCUGUAUCUUGUUUCAGAGGCUAAUGUUUAAUUUGUCUGUGCACAAAGGUCUUCUGUAUUUUUAUAUAGCCAAAGUUCUUGGUUGUAGUUUGGAGCACAACCUGCUAUGUUGCUAGCGAGCCUAAGAAAUUGUUUCUCUGAACAGUCUCUAGUCAAGUAUGUUAACUGACUGUUAGCUGUCCAGAUGCAUUCAUUUGAAAGCUAGCCAAGUUUGUGACAACCUGUAAUUUUCAAGGACAUUCCAUUUGAGCUGUGUGGCACUCGUACAUGAUGUCCAUCCAUUAUGUCACUAAAAAGAUAUCAGCAAACGCAA